UUUUUUUAAAAAGAUCGAGGUUAAUUUAACAAUGUCACAUGAGUAAAAUUCCUUAACAAGUGUCAACAGUGCAGAGGUCUGGGAGGUAUGAAAGACACGGUGUCCUUGGAUAUCCCCAGUUUCUUUCCUUCACAAGGAAUGAUUAGAAAAAAAGAGAGAUCCAAACCAUUCAGUGCUAGGAUGACAGAAGAUGUGAAAGAGAUAACACACUUGGAGUCAAAGCUUAAUCCCAUCCCUAACUACAGCUGGUAAGAUUCACAAGUCUCCUGAACCAGUGUACAGCCCUGGAGAGGCUGCAACCACACCUGACCUGGGUACUCUACCAAAACCAAGAGAACAACAGUUGCUGACAGAGGCUUAGAAUCUAGGUAUUCAGAAGGGAAAACACGAUCUGAAAAAGAAUGAAAGAUGAUGUAAGAAAAUGAAAAUUUUAGGUGAAAAAACCAAGAAGUCUCAAGUGAGCUCUAAACCACUUUGAUCAAGCAUGACUGGCAUUUAUUUUAAGUCUACACCAACAUUUAGAUGUUUUUGCACCAUGGCAGAUUUCAUCCUUCAGUUCUUUCCUGUAACAGUUGAUGUUACAUAAGAUGUCAUUUUACAAAAUAUGAGACCAUGUUGGAAACCAAUUUCCUGAAGAGCUAGAAAUAGGAUUGUAUCAUUACCUUGGGUCAGACUUGCAGUUCUGGCAAUCUUCUUUUUUAAUAAAUACAGAUACCUCCAUA